rnacentral:rRNA from 1 species
AUUGAACGCUGGCGGCAGGCCUAACACAUGCAAGUCGAGCGAGCGGCGGACGGGUGAGUAAUGUAUGGGGACUGCCCGAUAGAGGGGGAUAACUCCUGGAAACGGUAGCUAAUUCCGCAUAUUAUCCGAUAACCCAUAUGGGAUAAGCUAUUAGGUGAGGUAAUGGCUCACCUCGGCGACGACCCCUAGCUGGUCUGAGAGGAUGAUCAGCCAGACUGGGAUUGAGAGGCGGCCCAGACUCCUACGGAGGCAGCAGUGGGGAAUAUUGGACAAUGGGCGCAAGCCUGAUGUGGCCAUGCCGCGUGUAUGAAGAAGGCCCUAGGGUUGUAAAGAACUUUCAGUCGGGAGGCGUUACCGACAGAAGAAGCACCGGCUAACUCCGUGCCAGCAGCCGCGGUAAUUC